rnacentral:rRNA from 1 species
AGAGCGAACGCUGGCGGCAGGCCUAACACAUGCAAGUCGAGCGCCCCGCAAGGGGAGCGGCAGACGGGAGAGUAACACGUGGGAACGUACCCUUUGGUUCGGAACAACACAGGGAAACUUGUGCUAAUACCGGAUAAGCCCUUACGGGGAAAGAUUUAUCGCCAAAGGAUCGGCCCGCGUCUGAUUAGCUUGUUGGUGAGGUAACGGCUCACCAAGGCUACGAUCAGUAGCUGGUCUGAGAGGAUGAUCAGCCUCACUGGGACUGAGACACGGCCCAGACUCCUACGGGAGGCAGCAGUGGGGAAUAUUGGACAAUGGGCGCAAGCCUGAUCCAGCCAUGCCGCGUGGAUGAUGAAGGCCCUAGGGUUGUAAAGUCCUUUCGGACGGGGAAGAUAAUGACGGUACCCGUAGAAGAAGCCCGGCUAACUUCGUGCCAGCAGCCGC